rnacentral:rRNA from 1 species
CCUACGGGCGGCUGCAGUGGGGAAUAUUGCACAAUGGGCGCAAGCCUGAUGCAGCCAUGCCGCGUGUGUGAAGAAGGCCUUCGGGUUGUAAAGCACUUUCAGCGGGGAGGAAGGCGUUAAGGUUAAUAACCUUGUCGAUUGACGUUACCCGCAGAAGAAGCACCGGCUAACUCCGUGCCAGCAGCCGCGGUGAAUACGGAGGGUGCAAGCGUUAAUCGGAAUUACUGGGCGGAAAGCGCACGCAGGCGGUCUGUCAAGUCGGAUGUGAAAUCCCCGGGCCCAACCUGGGAACUGCAUUCGAAACUGGCAGGCUAGAGUCUUGUAGAGGGGGGUAGAAUUCCAGGUGUAGCGGUGAAAUGCGUAGAGAUCUGGAGGAAUACCGGUGGCGAAGGCGGCCCCCUGGACAAAGACUGACGCUCAGGUGCGAAAGCGUGGGGAGCAAACAGGAUUAGAUACCCGAGUAGUC